rnacentral:rRNA from 1 species
CACUAUCGUUAACUGAAUACAUAGGUUAACGAGGCGAACCGGGGGAACUGAAACAUCUAAGUACCCCGAGGAAAAGAAAUCAACCGAGAUUCCCCCAGUAGCGGCGAGCGAACGGGGAGCAGCCCAGAGUCUGAAUCAGCUUGUGUGUUAGUGGAACGGUCUGGAAAGUCCGACGGUACAGGGUGAUAGUCCCGUACACCAAAAUGCACAGGUUGUGAACUCGAAGAGUAGGGCGGGACACGUGGUAUCCUGUCUGAAUAUGGGGGGACCAUCCUCCAAGGCUAAAUACUCCUGACUGACCGAUAGUGAACCAGUACCGUGAGGGAAAGGUGAAAAGAACCCCGGCGAGGGGAGUGAAAAAGAACCUGAAACCGUGUACGUACAAGCAGUGGGAGCACCUUCGGGUGUGACUGCGUACCUUUUGUAUAAUGGGUCAGCGACUUAUAUUCUGUAGCAAGGUUAACCGUAUAGGGGAGCCGCAGGGAAACCGAGUCUUAACUGGGCGUUAAGUUGCAGGGUAUAGACCCGAAACCCGGUGAUCUAGCCAUGGGCAGGUUGAAGGUUGGGUAACACUAACUGGAGGACCGAACCGACUAAUGUUGAAAAAUUAGCGGAUGACUUGUGGCUGGGGGUGAAAGGCCAAUCAAACCGGGAGAUAGCUGGUUCUCCCCGAAAGCUAUUUAGGUAGCGCCUCGUGAACUCAUCUUCGGGGGUAGAGCACUGUUUCGGCUAGGGGGUCAUCCCGACUUACCAACCCGAUGCAAACUACGAAUACCGAAGAAUGUUAUCACGGGAGACACACGGCGGGUGCUAACGUCCGUCGUGAAGAGGGAAACAACCCAGACCGCCAGCUAAGGUCCCAAAGUCAUGGUUAAGUGGGAAACGAUGUGGGAAGGCACAGACAGCCAGGAUGUUGGCUUAGAAGCAGCCAUCAUUUAAAGAAAGCGUAAUAGCUCACUGGUCGAGUCGGCCUGCGCGGAAGAUGUAACGGGGCUAAACCAUGCACCGAAGCUGCGGCAGCGACACUAUGUGUUGUUGGGUAGGGGAGCGUUCUGUAAGCCUGCGAAGGUG